GUAGGUGAACCUGCGGAAGGAUCAUUAACACGUGUCCCACGUAAUAAACCAAAACCGAGAACUUUGAACGUAUGUCCGGGAUGGACUAAGGAUGGCGUCGGUAGUAAAGGCCAAGGCAUUGCUAGGAUACCCUUCGGGGAAUCUCUGUGGUGCUUUGGGUUCCGCACAUCCUAAUCCAGACCGUUAACCAAACCAUUAUUUAUUAUUAUUAUCGUCUUAAGUAUAUCGUGUUGACUGAGAGGAUUGGGCA
rnacentral:misc_RNA from 1 species